GAAACGGGUGGUAAUGCCGGAUGCUCCAGUUGAUCGCAUGGUCUUCUGGGAAAGCCUUUGCGGCAUGGGAUGGGGUCGCGUCCUAUCAGCUUGAUGGCGGGGUAACGGCCCACCAUGGCUUCGACGGGUAGCCGGCCUGAGAGGGCGACCGGCCACAUUGGGACUGAGAUACGGCCCAGACUCCUACGGGAGGCAGCAGUGGGGAAUAUUGCACAAUGGGCGCAAGCCUGAUGCAGCGACGCCGCGUGAGGGAUGGAGGCCUUCGGGUUGUAAACCUCUUUUGUUAGGGAGCAAGGCAUUUUGUGUUGAGUGUACCUUUCGAAUAAGCACCGGCUAACUACGUGCCAGCAGCCGCGGUAAUACGUAGGGUGCAAGCGUUAUCCGGAAUUAUUGGGCGUAAAGGGCUCGUAGGCGGUUCGUCGCGUCCGGUGUGAAAGUCCAUCGCUUAACGGUGGAUCCGCGCCGGGUACGGGCGGGCUUGAGUGCGGUAGGGGAGACUGGAAUUCCCGGUGUAACGGUGGAAUGUGUAGAUAUC
rnacentral:rRNA from 1 species